GGUGUGCUGGCGCAAUGGUAGCGCGCAGUCCUCCUAUUGUUGACUCCGACAAUUGGAACAUAUUCUCAAGACUGAGGCUCAGGGUUCGAGUCCCUGGUAUACCG